UACGUAGGGUGCGAGCGUUGUCCGGAAUUACUGGGCGUAAAGAGCUCGUAGGUGGUUUGUCGCGUCGUCUGUGAAAUUCCGGGGCUUAACUUCGGGCGUGCAGGCGAUACGGGCAAUACUUGAGUGCUGUAGGGGAGACUGGAAUUCCUGGUGUAGCGGUGAAAUGCGAAGAUAUCAGGAGGAACACCAAUGGCGAAGGCAGGUCUCUGGGCAGUUACUGACGCUGAGGAGCGAAAGCAUGGGUAGCGAACAGGAUUAGAUACCCGGGUA
rnacentral:rRNA from 1 species